GCCGGGCGGCAUGCUAUACAUGCAGUCGAGCGGACCGACGGGAGCUUGCUCCCUUAGGUCAGCGGCGGACGGGUGAGUAACACGUGGGUAACCUGCCUGUAAGACUGGGAUAACUCCGGGAAACCGGGGCUAAUACCGGAUGCUUGAUUGAACCGCAUGGUUCAAUCAUAAAAGGUGGCUUUCAGCUACCACUUGCAGAUGGACCCGCGGCGCAUUAGCUAGUUGGUGAGGUAACGGCUCACCAAGGCGACGAUGCGUAGCCGACCUGAGAGGGUGAUCGGCCACACUGGGACUGAGACACGGCCCAGACUCCUACGGGAGGCAGCAGUAGGGAAUCUUCCGCAAUGGACGAAAGUCUGACGGAGCAACGCCGCGUGAGUGAUGAAGGUUUUCGGAUCGUAAAACUCUGUUGUUAGGGAAGAACAAGUACCGUUCGAAUAGGGCGGUACCUUGACGGUACCUAACCAGAAAGCCACGGCUAACUACGUGCCAGCAGCCGCGGUAAUACGUAGGUGGCAAGCGUUGUCCGGAAUUAUUGGGCGUAAAGCGCGCGCAGGCGGUUUCUUAAGUCUGAUGUGAAAGCCCCCGGCUCAACCGGGGAGGGUCAUUGGAAACUGGGGAACUUGAGUGCAGAAGAGGAGAGUGGAAUUCCACGUGUAGCGGUGAAAUGCGUAGAGAUGUGGAGGAACACCAGUGGCGAAGGCGACUCUCUGGUCUGUAACUGACGCUGAGGCGCGAAAGCGUGGGGAGCGAACAGGAUUAGAUACCCUGGUAGUCCACGCCGUAAACGAUGAGUGCUAAGUGUUAGAGGGUUUCCGCCCUUUAGUGCUGCAGCAAACGCAUUAAGCACUCCGCCUGGGGAGUACGGUCGCAAGACUGAAACUCAAAGGAAUUGACGGGGGCCCGCACAAGCGGUGGAGCAUGUGGUUUAAUUCGAAGCAACGCGAAGAACCUUACCAGGUCUUGACAUCCUCUGACAACCCUAGAGAUAGGGCUUCCCCUUCGGGGGCAGAGUGACAGGUGGUGCAUGGUUGUCGUCAGCUCGUGUCGUGAGAUGUUGGGUUAAGUCCCGCAACGAGCGCAACCCUUGAUCUUAGUUGCCAGCAUUCAGUUGGGCACUCUAAGGUGACUGCCGGUGACAAACCGGAAGAAGGUGGGGAUGACGUCAAAUCAUCAUGCCCCUUAUGACCUGGGCUACCACCGUGCUACAAUGGGGCAAAACAAAGGGCA
rnacentral:rRNA from 1 species